rfam:Schistosoma rodhaini strain Burundi genome assembly, scaffold: SROB_scaffold0007373
AGUUUUAUAAAUCCGAGCAGAUAUUUCUUCAGACACCAGACCACCAGGAUUGAUGAGAGUCAAGAUAGGUGAAACA